rnacentral:lncRNA from 1 species
CUAAUAUGUGCUUUUGUGCUGAUCUUGUGCAAACUUCUUAAGCCUGCGCACCUGCUUUCUCAUGUCCUGUCGGUGGAAAUCAUGGAGCCUCGGGACUGCUGUUUGAACGCUGUACUGUAGAAGGCACAGACUGAGAUGCUGGAUCAACUGCGCAUGCCUGUCUUUGUGACCGGCUGCUAUCGAUCCUUCCGAGCCCGUGUGCCACGCUGGAAAGCUGCAUCUAAGAGUUAAGAUUUACUGGCUUAAAAGCGUGUGUGUCGUGGGAUUGCGCGGUGGCUCAGAACUGACAUCCUAGCAGGCUCCUGGGCGAUGCAGAUGCUGGCAUUCUGGGCACUGCCCUUUGGAAAGCUAUGAUGACCACUGAAGCAGAACAGACCAAAGCAAAGAGGUGGGAAAGUCGCGAGAAGAUACAGGACUGGCUGGGAUACAUCAGGAAGAGGAGCUGCGAUGGAUGGGACUUCAAAUGGAAGUUGGUGAUUAUAUCCGUCCCAGCACCUCCCGCCUUGCAAGAGAGGCCUUAUAAAUCCUGGUCACAAGGAAGGGAAACAGAAGCUCAAGGAAGAGAGAGCCAUGGCUUCCUAGGUGUCAGUGAAGACCCAGACGCUGAAACUAUAACCGCCUAGUUCAGAAACCUAUACUUUGCUUGACCACAAUCCAAGCAGGGGGUGGGGAUGGGAUGUUUUUCUGCAGGGCUGGACAUAGAGUCAGUGUUCAGAGCACAUUGUUGGAGAGAGGAAGGAUGGGUGAGUGAAUAAGUGAAGAAAUGAAUGAGAGAACAGAACCACUUUGAGAGCCUGGAAACCGGGACCUCACGCUCUGUGACCUCACGCUCCAACUUCCCCUCCUCCCCGAGUCUGAUCUGAAAGGUGACCCCCGUUCCUCUCGCCCAGGUGAUAAAGCCAGGUGCAGGUGCACCUGUUACCCAAACCUGAUAUCCAAAUAGGAAGUAAGGCUGAGAUAAGGCUGUGGAGGGCAGUGCCUGGAAUCACGGGGUUGGGCUGGCCAUUGGCUUGAUGCCACAAGUGUCCACCGAGCCUCUCCUAAAGGUUGAGCUCUAUGCCAGGUUCCUUCAGGGUGAGGCAGGAAGCCACGCAGCUCCUGACCUCCAACAGCUUAUGGAAAAAAAAAAUACUUACAAACAGGAUGUGGGUCGGGCAAAGGGAGAAGUGUGAAGCAGGUGGCCAUUGCUCCCUGACAGCUCCAACAGGGAGUUGGGACUGAGAGAUGAGAAGAAAUGAGGCAGUAGUUAGUGAUGCCAGGGGAGGGGCCUGACCCUUGCACUGCCAUUGCUGAGGAAUAAGAGGUCCUUAAAGUUUAGCUCCUCAGACCCAGACCCCUCCCCAGUCCUCCUAC